GACGAACGCUGGCGGCGUGCCUAAUACAUGCAAGUCGAACGCAGUGGGAACUGGUGAGUAACACGUGGGUAACCUCCCAUCAGAGGGGAUAACACUUGGAAACAGGUUCUAAACCGAUAAUGAUGGAUGAACCCGCGGUGCAGUAGCUAGUUGGUGAGGUAACGGCUCACCAAGUCCACAAGGCAUAGCCGACCUGAGAGGAGGAUGCGCCACUCUGGGACUGAGACACGGCCUAGACUCCUACGGGAGGCAGCAGUAGGGCAUCUUCGGGAAUGGACGAAAGUCUGACCCAGCAACGCCGCGUGAGUGAAGAAGGUUUUCGGAUCGGAAAACACUGUUGUUAGAGAAGCGGUAUCUAACCAGAAAGCCACGGCUAACUACGUGCCAGCAGCCGCGGUAAUUC
rnacentral:rRNA from 1 species